CCAUUGGGAGUGGUGUGACUGCAGCUGUUUGGAGCCGCGGAUAUCCCUCACCUCGUUUGAGAAAAUGUGUGAUUUUUCUCUGCAGUUUUGUUUGCGAGCAGAAGACAGGAUUGACACACACGCAGGUCAUGCAUCAGUGCUACUCGAAGGUCUCUGGGCAAAAACAAACUAGUAGUAAGCGUCCGUCGGAUGUAAAGCUUUGGCACCACGAGAUUAUAAACAUCGACGCACAAACAUCUUGAUUAUCAUUUGACCCAGAAGACAAUGUGUGAAACAAUAGUGAAACAAUAAUAUCACUGUUGUUUCAUAAUCUGGUUUCAUAAUUCUAUUCAAAUAAGGCCCUUGAGGCCUCGAUACAAUCGGUCAGGGCAUCAAGAGCAAUUCUCAUCAGCAUUCGGCUGCUGUAGUCCUCCGACACCAAGUAUUAGAAGGCGCCCACCAACAUCGAGGGGCGAUGCUGCCAUGGAGAUCAAGAUAAACGAGGUCAAUGCCAAAUUCUUUCACUUGCCAAACCGUGAUUGCAGCAUUCCACUGAAAGGACGUGUGUGCAUGUUAUAUGUGCAAUUUUGUCAAGUCAUAAACUAAAGUUAACUCACCCACUGGGUCGUUAUGUGCGUGUGUGUGUGUUGUUAUGUGUGUGUGUGUGUGUGUGUGUGUGUGUGUGUGUGGGGAUGUCCGCCCCCUCAGCCCACAGCAAAUGUGAGCCCUCCGUCCUCUCUGCUCCAACCUCCACGUUGCCAUAGUGAUCGCACACAACGUCCGCAGCUGCUGUUCCUGUUUUUCCAAAGUCUCUGAGCAUCGAUUGUCCCCCCCUUUCCUCGUCCCCGGUUCGGCCCCCUCGCGCUGCUUCCUUCCGUCGGCUUUGCUCGUCAUGCAUGCCGUGAGUUCUCCUGGUCCACCUGUGACCUCCGGGAUUCACAAUGUCACAGUGUGAGACACAAAUGCAAAACCCAAUCACAGUAUGUGUGUGUUUCUGCUUACAGUCAGACUGAGGGGGGGAGGGCGAGGGGGUCAAUGUGUGAAUUACAUUUGCUUUCUGCUCCCCCUCCCUCGUACGGUGUCGUCAAUCACGUGGAAGCUCCGAUGUUAAAGCUGCUCUCCACACCGAGAAGCUUAGUCAGAGAAGGAGCGCUGAGUGGCGGACUGGGACCUUUUCUGUCCGGACUUACGGCUUGUGUUUGGUGAUUUUGGUUUUGUUAUUUUUCUAUAUGCUAAGUUUGUAAUAACUACUUCAUCACAAACAAGCUUAAGAUGCUUCCACUAAUCGCCACCAGAGACUCGGCAGCGAGGAUGGGACGGGCGCGCGAUCUGGGCUUGUUCGGACGGACAGAAGGUCGUGUGCUACCGUUGAUUUCUCCCGGCGGGUAAAAAGCUGCCGUCCCGACAAACUCGCGAGGAAUUCAUUGGACGCGGAUCUGAACUGCCCCUUCGUCCCCCCUCCUCCCCCCCGGCUCCUCUGACUGAGCCAGCAGUCUCCUCAGCAGGAUGCUGCACAGGCAAACCUUCCUCGACUUGACAACAGCCCACGAGGAGCGCAGCCAGAUUCAACCUCCGACGGGCCGGACGACCUUUUCACCUCCUGUGACCCGCUCGCAGGCUCAGCGAAGGCUGUGAGAAAAGUUGCCUUUUUGUUGAUCCUGCAAACCUCUUUUCCGGUGGUAGAGUUCUUGGCACGCCUGACGACAACUUUCGACACUCCCAGCGGCCUCAGAGGACCCGAGCAGAUGGGGACGCAGGCUUCUCCUUUGAUGGGCGUGGCUACACACGGACCAGACGUCCAAUGGGUUACCAGGAAAGCCCAGGUGUGUUCCACGGAGCGCUCAGCGAAAACCUUCAAAAUGUACCACUCCCCCCAUUUAAGCUAUGUGGGUGUUUCCCAUAUCUUACAUGCCCAGAAGACUGAGUGGAUGUGAAGGAGGAACAAAUGUAUUUAAUAUUUUUUCACAUUCCAUUCUGUGAUUUAGCCUUAAUUAGCCACCAAUAGUAUAAAUAAGAAAGUGUGAGACAUUUACCGCACCUUUUUAAAUCUGGCUGUGAUGUUUUAAGUGCUUGUUUAAAUGAAACUAGGACUUCAAUCUAGAAGUUUAGAAGACUACAUUUUGGAUAUCUGAUGAUGUAACUCCAGGCAGGCCUUUCUACUCCAUAAUGAGAACAUUUUGCUGGUUACACUUUUUUAUUUUCAAGCAAGAUUUUGAAUGCAGGACUUUUACUCCGGAGUAGUUUUACAUUAUGGUAUUGCUACUCGCACUUAAUUCUCCCAACACUAAGACCCAGGACCAGAUAAUCAGAGAAAAUCAGUGUAUCCAUUCAUUACGUCAAACUUCAGUCUGUUUUAAGAGUUGUUUGUUCACCUGAGACGCAGAGCCUCGCUUCAUCACCACAAAGAGGAGAAACUCAUUCCUGCUUUGUGA